rnacentral:rRNA from 1 species
AAUCCUCUUCUAUUAUUCCAUGCACGAACAUUCAGGCGAGACGCCUGUGCUGAGCACUCUGAUUUGUUCAAAGUAAAACGACGGCUAGCGAGCGGGCCCCGCGAACGGGAACCCGCCGCCACAUCCGUCAACUAGCCGGCGGGAGCAAGUGCCACCCCACACGGAGGGGACUUGCCCGCCGGCGCAGAUCCAACUACGAGCUUUUUAACCGCAGCAAUGGUUCUAUGCAUUUUGAGAGCUGGAAUUACCGCGGCUGCUGGCACCAGACUUGCCCUCUCAUAGAUACUCGUUAAAGGGUUUAGAUUGUACCCAUUCCGAUGGACCGGCCUCUUGUGAGAACGGUCUCGUUAUUUUUCGUCACUACCUCCUCUUGCCGAGAGUGGGUAAUUUGCGCGCCUGCUGCCAUCCUUAGACGUAGUGGCCA